rnacentral:tRNA from 1 species
UGCACGGGUAGCUCAGUUGGUAGAGCACUUGCCCGCGGAAGGCAAAGGUCCCGAGUUCGAGUCUCGGUCCGGCAC